UUAAAUUGAAGAGUUUGAUCAUGGCUCAGAUUGAACGCUGGCGGCAGGCCUAACACAUGCAAGUCGAACGGUAACAGGAAACAGCUUGCUGUUUCGCUGACGAGUGGCGGACGGGUGAGUAAUGUCUGGGAAACUGCCUGAUGGAGGGGG
rnacentral:rRNA from 2 species